rnacentral:piRNA from 1 species
UUGGUGAAAUCCACAACUACA